rnacentral:rRNA from 1 species
UACGUAGGGGGCAAGCGUUGUCCGGAAUCAUUGGGCGUAAAGAGCGUGUAGGCGGCCCGAUAAGUCCGCUGUGAAAGUCCAGGGCUCAACCCUGGGAUGCCGGUGGAUACUGUCGGGCUGGAGUGCGGCAGAGGAGACUGGAAUUCCUGGUGUAGCAGUGAAAUGCGUAGAUAUCAGGAGGAACACCGAUGGCGAAGGCAGCUCUCUGGGACGUUACUGACGCUGAGACGCGAAAAGCGUGGGGGAGCAAAUAGG